AUGGGUCGUCUGUCCGUGAAGGUCUUGGUGGUCGUCCUGCUGCUCCUUGCGGCCACAGAGGAGCAGGGGGGAUCGGUGCAGGUGGCUCUGGCGAGGGUGUGCACGAGGCCGAGCCACAAGUUCCAUUGGGCAUGCCUCGACACCAACAAAUGCGCGAGCGCCUGCCUGACCGAGGGCUACACCGGCGGCAAGUGCGGCGGCCGCCGCGGCCGCCGCUGCUUCUGCACCUGGCACUGCUAG
rnacentral:rRNA from 1 species